GUCAGGCUAUACAAACUGAAGAACCAUGCAUACAUGACACAAUUUUAUGAGAUAUGGCACAAGUGGACGAAGUCUUACUUCACAUGUGUGUUUUGUGCUAAGAUGACCAGUACGCAGUGGAGUGAGAGCGCUAACCAUAAGCUGAAAUUUUUUGUGUCUCCAAGCUGUCCCAUGCAUGUGUUUGUGAGGAAAUACAUGAGACUGAUGUUUGAUAGGGAGUCUGAGGAAAAUUAUAAGGAGAACCGAACAAAAAUUACAAGAUACUUACUAGAAAAUAGGAAAAGUUUUUUUUUCUAA
rnacentral:rRNA from 1 species